rnacentral:rRNA from 1 species
AUGUUUCCAUUUGUGAUCAUCAAGGUGUUACUUCAAUCUAUUCAUGUGUGGGAUACACCUCUUUGUUGGCCUGUCAUCCAGAUAUCUAAAUUUGGAAGCCAGCACAAUCAAUACCACAAAACAGAAUCAGAAGUGAAGAUGCGAGCCAUUGUCUCGAUGAAUUUUCCUCGGCUUUUGGUGCCCACUCCUGGAGCUGCAUCCAUGAGUAGUUUUGUGAGAAUUUUGAUGACUAGUAUGUAUAACUUGUGUUUACGACAGAUUUUACAGUGCAGAAUCCGCUCCAUGCUACUGAUCACUUCCGUGUUUCCGUGGAUUUGGUUACGGAGAUUCUCGCCGGUGCUUCCGGGAGAAGUCACGAUGCGGCACAUGACUUGCAGUGAUGCUGCAGCUACACCAAACCGUUCGUCAUGA